rnacentral:rRNA from 1 species
ACUCAAAGGAAUUGACGGGGGCCCGCACAAGCAGCGGAGCGUGUGGUUUAAUUCGACGCAACGCGAAGAACCUUACCAGGGCUUGAACUGCUGGUAGUACUGAUCCGAAAGGUGAGGGACCCUUCGGGGAGCCAGUGGAGGCGAUGCACGGCUGUCGUCAGCUCGUGCCGUGAGGUGUUGGGUUAAGUCCCGCAACGAGCGCAACCCCUGUCGCCAGUUGUAUUUUUCUGGCGAGACUGCUGAGACCAACUCAGAGGAAGGCGGGGAUGAAGUCAAGUCAGCGUGUCCCUUACGUCCUGGGCUACACACACGCUACAAUGGCCGGUACAAAGGGCAGCCAACGAGCGAUCGGGAGCUAAUCCCACAAAGCCGGCCCCAGUUCAGAUUGCAGGCUGAAACUCGCCUGCAUGAAGGCGGAGUUGCUAGUAACCGCACGUCAGCACAGUGCGGUGAAUACGUUCCCGGGCCUUGUACACACCGCCCGU